GACGAACGCUGGCGGCGUGCUUAACACAUGCAAGUCGAACGGGCUCUGUCUGGCUGUGUGCUGGGUGGGGUUAGUGGCGAACGGGUGAGUAAUACGUGAGUAACCUGCCCUCUUCUUUGGGAUAAGCCUUGGAAACGGGGUCUAAUACUGGAUAUUCCUGUCUGGUCGCAUGGCUGGGUGGGGAAAGUUUUUUUCGGUGGGGGAUGGGCUCGCGGCCUAUCAGCUUGUUGGUGGGGUGAUGGCCUACCAAGGCGUCGACGGGUAGCCGGCCUGAGAGGGUGACCGGCCACACUGGGACUGAGAUACGGCCCAGACGCCUACGGGAGGCAGCAGUGGGGGAUAUUGCACAAUGGGCGCAAGCCUGAUGCAGCGACGCCGCGUGGGGGAUGACGGCUUUCGGGUUGUAAACCUCUUUCGUCGGGGGACAAGGCUCUGCUGGGUGGUGGGGUUGAGGGUACCCGGUGAAGAAGCGCCGGCUAACUACGUG
rnacentral:rRNA from 1 species